rnacentral:rRNA from 1 species
UGAGGUUCUAACUCAGGUCCGUUAUCCGGAUCGAGGACAGUGUCUGGUGGGUAGUUUGACUGGGGCGGUCUCCUCCCAAAUAGUAACGGAGGAGCACGAAGGUUAGCUAAUCACGGUCGGACAUCGUGAGGUUAGUGCAAUGGCAUAAGCUAGCUUAACUGCGAGACAGACACGUCGAGCAGGUACGAAAGUAGGUCAUAGUGAUCCGGUGGUUCUGUAUGGAAGGGCCAUCGCUCAACGGAUAAAAGGUACUCUGGGGAUAACAGGCUGAUGACGCCCAAGAGUCCAUAUCGACGGCGGUGUUUGGCACCUCGAUGUCGGCUCAUCGCA